UACGAAGGGGGCUAGCGUUUCUCGGAAUCACUGGGCGUAAAGCGCACGUAGGCGGGUCGUUAAGUCGGGGGUGAAAUCCUGGAGCUCAACUCCAGAACUGCCUUCGAUACUGGCGAUCUUGAGUCUGGGAGAGGUGAGUGGAACUCCGAGUGUAGAGGUGAAAUUCGUAGAUAUUCGGAAGAACACCAGUGGCGAAGGCGGCUCACUGGCCCGGUACUGACGCUGAGGUGCGAAAGCGUGGGGAGCAAACAGG
rnacentral:rRNA from 1 species